UUAGAGUUUGAUCAUGGCUCAGGAUAAACGCUGGCGGCGUGCCUAACACAUGCAAGUCGAACGGGGGACUUCGGUCCUUAGUGGCGGACGGGUGAGGAGCGCGUGGAGAACCUGCCCCGGGGUGGGGGAUAACAGUCGGAAACGAUUGCUAAGACCGCAUACGACCAUCUGUUGCAGGAUAGAUGGGGAAAGCAGAGAUGUGCCCUGGGAGGGCUCCGCGUCGGAUUAGCUAGUUGGUGGGGUAACGGCCUACCAAGGCUGCGAUCCGUAGCUGGUCUGAGAGGACGGCCAGCCACACUGGGACUGAGACACGGCCCAGACUCCUACGGGAGGCAGCAGUUAGGGAAUUUUGUCAAUGGGCGAAAGCCUGAACGAGUGACGCCGCGUGCGGGAUGACGCCUUUCGGGGUGUAAACCGCUUUUCCCAAGGACGAGGAUGGACGGUACUUGGGGAAUAAGUCUCGGCUAACUACGUGCCAGCAGCCGCGGUACGC
rnacentral:rRNA from 1 species